CAGGGAGUGGCGGGGCCUCUUACCAAGGAAGUCCUGGCAGCCUGCCUGGCAUGUCUGGGCUCCAGGCACUGCUGGAGUCUGCGUCCAGUGACCACACAUUGGACUAGUGGUGUAUGAAGAACUGUCCAGCCCAACCAGCCAGGUCAUGGCAGGGAGACUCACCUGGGUAGAGAGAGACCUGACAGAUGACAGGAUGUAGGCGUCAGCUACUGCUCCAGCUCAAGCACACCAUCAUGCUUCUCAUCAUGAAGAUACUUGGACUGAGCCUCUGAAACUAGGACCCCGAUUUGGUUCCCAACACCCACACCAGACGCUCACAAAUGCCA